rnacentral:rRNA from 1 species
ACACAUGCAAGUCGAACGGAGAUGAGCGGAGGGAGCCUUUCGGGGCAAACGAAGCUUAUUUUAGUGGCGAACGGGUGAGUAACACGUGAGCAACCUACCUUCCAGCGGGGGACAACAUUUGGAAACAGAUGCUAAUACCGCAUAAGACCCUAUCAGGGCAUCCUGAAGAGGCCAAAGUAGCAAUACACUGGAAGAUGGGCUCGCGACCGAUUAGGUAGUUGGGGGGGUAACGGCCCGCCAAGCCCGCGAUCGGUAGCCGGACUGAGAGGUUGAACGGCCACAUUGGGACUGAGACACGGCCCAGACUCCUACGGGAGGCAGCAGUGGGGGAUAUUGCACAAUGGGCGAAAGCCUGAUGCAGCGACGCCGCGUGAGGGAAGAAGGUUUUCGGAUUGUAAACCUCUGUCUUCGGGAACGAAAGAGAUGACGGUACCCGAGGAGGAAGCCACGGCUAACUACGUGCCAGCAGCCGCGGUAAAACGUAGGUGGCAAGCGUUGUCCGGAAUUACUGGGUGUAAAGGGAGCGCAGACGGGAAGGCAAGUUGAAUGUGAAAGGCGCGGGCUCAACCCGUGGAAUGCGUUCAAAACUGCCAAUCUUGAGUGAUGUAGAGGCAGGCGGAAUUCCUGGUGUAGCGGUGAAAUGCGUAGAUAUCAGGAGGAACACCGGUGGCGAAGGCGGCCUGCUGGGCAUUAACUGACGCUGAGGCUCGAAAGUGUGGGGAGCAAACAGGAUUAGAUACCCUGGUAGUCCACACUGUAAACGAUGAUUACUAGGUGUGGGGGGAUAGACCCCUUCCGUGCCGGAGUAAACGCAAUAAGUAAUCCACCUGGGGAGUACGGCCGCAAGGCUGAAACUCAAAGGAAUUGACGGGGGCCCGCACAAGCAGUGGAGUAUGUGGUUUAAUUCGACGCAACGCGAAGAACCUUACCAGGUCUUGACAUCGUGUGAAUAGCAUGGAGACAUGUAAAGCCCUUUGGGCACACAGACAGGUGGUGCAUGGUUGUCGUCAGCUCGUGUCGUGAGAUGUUGGGUUAAGUCCCGCAACGAGCGCAACCCUUAUCGUCAGUUACUACGCAAGAGGACUCUGGCGAGACUGCCGUUGACAAAACGGAGGAAGGUGGGGAUGAUGUCAAAUCAGCAUGCCCUUUAUGAUCUGGGCCACACACGUACUACAAUGGCCGAAAACAGAGGGAAGCGAAGCCGCGAGGCAGAGCAAAACCCAGAAAAACGGUCUCAGUUCGGAUCGCAGGCUGCAACCCGCCUGCGUGAAGCCGGAAUUGCUAGUAAUCGCGGAUCAGCAUGCCGCGGUGAAUACGUCCCCGGGCCUUGUACACACCGCCCGUCACACCAUGAGAGCCGGGGGGACCCGAAGUCGGUAGCCUAACCGCAAGGAGGGCGCCGCCGAAGGUAAAA